rnacentral:tRNA from 1 species
GCGAUCGUAGUGUAAUGAACACGCCUGUAAUCCUUACAGGUAUUGAAGGUUCAAGUCCUUCCGAUCGCUCCA